GCUCCAGUGGUGUAGUCCGGUCAAGCAUACUGCCCUUUCAAGGCAGUGAUCCCGGGUUCAAAUCCGCUAGGUGAA
rnacentral:tRNA from 1 species